CGGGUGCACCAGGCGCGAAAACUUUACAAUGCCGGCAACGGCGAUAAGGGAACCUCGAGUGCCAGGUUACAAAUCUGGCUGUCGUGAUGCCUAAAAAGCAUUGCAUAGCAAGGGCCGGGCAAGACCGGUGCCAGCCGCCGCGGUAACACCGGCGGCUCGAGUGGUAACCGUUAUUAUUGGGUCUAAAGGGUCUGUAGCCGGCCGGGUAAGUCUCUUGGGAAAUCUGGCAGCUUAACUGUCAGGCUUUCAGGAGAUACUGCCUGGCUCGAGGCCGGGAGAGGUGAGAGGUACUUCAGGGGUAGGGGUGAAAUCUUGUAAUCCUUGAAGGACCACCAGUGGCGAAGGCGUCUCACCAGAACGGACCUGACGGCAAGGGACGAAAGCUAGGGGCACGAACCGGAUUAGAUACCCGGGUAGUCCUAGCCGUAAACGAUACUCGCUAGGUGUCGGCCACGGUGCGACCGUGGUCGGUGCCGUAGGGAAGCCGUGAAGCGAGCCACCUGGGAAGUACGGCCGCAAGGCUGAAACUUAAAGGAAUUGGCGGG
rnacentral:rRNA from 1 species